UAUAUAUAUAUAUAUAUAUUUGUUUUACAACUGACUUAACACUUACAGUAAUGUUUUAUUUGUUAGCAUAGCAUGAUAUUAGAUUUAAACACUUAAUACAUUUUUAAAUCAAUCACUUUGUCUCUGCACAAUGAACAUUAUCAAAUAUUAUUAAUGUUGUAAAAUAUAUUGUUCAUUGUUAGUUCAUAUUAGCUAAGGCAUUACCAAAUGUUAAGGAAUAAACUCUUAUAGUAAAGUGUUACUAAAUUUUCUUUUACCAUUUCCUUCACAAUGUCUACUUAUUUCUAUGGCUAACAGAUUUUGUAACAUUUGUCUUUUUUACAGUCUUACCAUUGCUUGUAAGCUGGAUUGGGUAAGAUGGAUCAUCUUUAAAGGCACCAGGAGUUAAGGCAGAUGUGGAGGCACAAUGGGUGACACCAGACACACACCAAGCACAUUAUGUUCGGACAUUCAAUCAUGACAGGAUCCAGGUGGAUGCUGUCCAUUGAUGAAAGAGUUUGUUCCGAGGUUUCUGGAUAGAAUUAAUUCCAAAGAUGGGAAAAAAUGCACAUCCAGACAAGGAGCAAGCAAAAAGACAAGGAACUUGGUGCAGAGAAAAGCUGUGGCCAUUAACCCCCAUGUGAACAGCUUCAUGCAGUCCCUGAUUGAGUUCGAAUGGACGACUUCAAAGUAAAGGCCACUGUGGUCUGUCUGCCAGUUUAAUGCAUUUAUUUUUAGUGUUAAAUGAAAUUCAAGUAGAAUAUUUAAAACUAUGGGCCAGUGUUCUUUUUACCACAGUGAAAUGUUACCUUUUAGUCGAUGAUGGACUUUAAACUGAAAACUUCAAACUAUGGAACAGUGUUCUAUUUGCCAGAGUUAAAUAUGUUACAGCAGGGGUCUCCAAACUUGUUUAUACUUGUUGAUUUUAUUUUAUGUUACUUGAUUAUAUGUUUAUUAUUGUUUAAAAUCUUGUUUUAAAUGUUUUGUUUCAAUUAAAUGUUUUUUUAAAUAAAAUUUUGAUACAAACAUUGCUUGGAUUGCCUUUUAAUUCAUUAUGUCAUGUCAAGGAUAGCAUUUUUACCAUAUUAAUAACUAUAGAUUUAAACCUAAAUCUCUAUCUAUUUUAUAUAA